rnacentral:rRNA from 1 species
ACGAACGCUGGCGGCGUGGAUAAGACAUGCAAGUCGAACGAGAGAAUUGCUAGCUUGCUAAUAAUUCUCUAGUGGCGCACGGGUGAGUAACACGUGAGUAACCUGCCCCCGAGAGCGGGAUAGCCCUGGGAAACUGGGAUUAAUACCGCAUAGUAUCGAAAGAUUAAAGCAGCAAUGCGCUUGGGGAUGGGCUCGCGGCCUAUUAGUUAGUUGGUGAGGUAACGGCUCACCAAGGCGAUGACGGGUAGCCGGUCUGAGAGGAUGUCCGGCCACACUGGAACUGAGACACGGUCCAGACACCUACGGGUGGCAGCAGUCGAGAAUCAUUCACAAUGGGGGAAACCCUGAUGGUGCGACGCCGCGUGGGGGAAUGAAGGUCUUCGGAUUGUAAACCCCUGUCAUGUGGGAGCAAAUUAAAAAGAUAGUACCACAAGAGGAAGAGACGGCUAACUCUGUGCCAGCAGCCGCGGUAAUACAGAGGUCUCAAGCGUUGUUCGGAAUCACUGGGCGUAAAGCGUGCGUAGGCUGUUUCGUAAGUCGUGUGUGAAAGGCGCGGGCUCAACCCGCGGACGGCACAUGAUACUGCGAGACUAGAGUAAUGGAGGGGGAACCGGAAUUCUCGGUGUAGCAGUGAAAUGUGUAGAUAUCGAGAGGAACACUCGUGGCGAAGGCGGGUUCCUGGACAUUAACUGACGCUGAGGCACGAAGGCCAGGGGAGCGAAAGGGAUUAGAUACCCCUGUAGUCCUGGCAGUAAACGGUGCACGCUUGGUGUGCGGGGAAUCGACCCCCUGCGUGCCGGAGCUAACGCGUUAAGCGUGCCGCCUGGGGAGUACGGUCGCAAGAUUAAAACUCAAAGAAAUUGACGGGGACCCGCACAAGCGGUGGAGUAUGUGGCUUAAUUCGAUGCAACGCGAAGAACCUUACCUGGGCUUGACAUGUAAUGAACAACAUGUGAAAGCAUGCGACUCUUCGGAGGCGUUACACAGGUGCUGCAUGGCCGUCGUCAGCUCGUGUCGUGAGAUGUUUGGUUAAGUCCAGCAACGAGCGCAACCCCUGUUGCCAGUUACCAGCACGUGAAGGUGGGGACUCUGGCGAGACUGCCCAGAUCAACUGGGAGGAAGGUGGGGACGACGUCAGGUCAGUAUGGCCCUUAUGCCCAGGGCUGCACACGUACUACAAUGCCCAGUACAGAGGGGGCCGAAGCCGCGAGGCGGAGGAAAUCCUAAAAACUGGGCCCAGUUCGGACUGUAGGCUGCAACCCGCCUACACGAAGCCGGAAUCGCUAGUAAUGGCGCAUCAGCUACGGCGCCGUGAAUACGUUCCCGGGUCUUGUACACACCGCCCGUCACAUCAUGGAAGCCGGUCGCACCCGAAGUAUCUGAAGCCAACCGCAAGGAGGCAGGGUCCUAAGGUGAGACUGGUAACUGGGAUG